rnacentral:rRNA from 1 species
GACGUAGGGCGCGAGCGUUGUCCGGAUUUAUUGGGCGUAAAGAGCUCGUAGGCGGCUUGUCGCGUCGAAUGUGAAAACUCGGGGCUCAACCCCGCGCUUGCAUUCGAUACGGGCAGGCUCGAGUUCGGUAGGGGAGACUGGAAUUCCUGGUGUAGUGGUGAAAUGCGUACGAGAUCGAGGACCGAAGAGCCGGAGGCGGCCG